AUGUGGGUCAGCUGCCCUCUGCCAGGGAGGGCAAAAGUCCAGCGUUCCAGCCUUUUUUGGGUACCCGCACUCGGUAGGCUCCAAGCUCUUCUCACAUCCAAGAAGAAUGAGGUCACGCCGACACUUGAAGGAUGGUGAAGGCGGAGAGUUUUAUUAAGCAAUGGAAAUGGCUCUCACCAGAGAGGGAAGCUGGAGAGGGGAUGAGACGCUCUUCCCUGAAGGCUAGUCAUCUCUGGCUGGCUCUUCUCUGAAGUGAAGCCCAUCUCUCCUCCAAAGUCCAGCCAUCCCUGUAGAGUCAAGUUGCCUCUCUCCAGUCAAGCCACUUCUCUCACCUCUACCGACUGAGUCUGGGGUCUUUACAGGCACAGGAUGAGGGGGUGGGGUGGGCCAUAGGCAGUUUUGGAAAAGGCAAUAUUCAAUUGGUAAAAAGACAUUUUUCAGAAAGAACCAAUCAGGAGACAGCAGGUGAAUGGGGAUAGAAGUUCUUACUUUGGGCAGCGGGUUUCUGACUUUUUGGCUUGAAGGUGGGGUUUUGCCAGGGACCCACUCCUGUCUUCCUGGAAUUUCUCUGCCUCUUGCCUCUCUCAUUAGGACCCCAUCCCCUGCCCCAGCGUGCACUCCAGGCAGCUUUUUGGCUAGAAGCUCAUCGUCUCCAUAGUGGGAGUUGCGUGGUGUGGACUCAGCACCCAGUGAGGAUAAUUCCCUCCUGAACCGUCAGUCUCCCCAGGUCUUUGCGGAUAUGCCAACUUCUCUGGAAGGAGCAGUCUCACUGUCUCAUCCCAGCAUCUGCCCAGCUCCCGCCCAGCUCAGCAAAGGUUUAUGGAUUCCUGUGGCAUGCAAGGCACCAUCAGACCCUGGUGCCACGAUGAACUAGGUGAUGAUGGUGCAGGCUGUAGGUGUGCAGCCUUUCUGGGAUCAGCUGGAAUUCGUCCUCACUAGGCUUUCUGCCCUGAUGGGCAGAUAUUUUUCGGCAACUGCAGCCACGAGUAUUUCCUUUGGCAAAAAAUCUUCUCACUGCUGCUCUGUCACCCAGGCAAGGCUGGUUUCAAAGAAGAACAUGAAAAUUUUUCCUUUCAUUCUCAGCUCACCUGUCAAUGAACAUUUCAUGUCACCUUUUCGAACACAAAGUGACAACAUGGUUCGGUUUAAAAUCAUUUAUUCUCUUUUUCAAACAAAAGAUCUGAGUGUGGGGGAGAUGAGGUCAGAGGCUGCCGGGAGUGUCUUGUCCCUCGGUCUAUACAGAGUCACUGUCCCAGAGACGCACACUUCCUGCCUGUGCUCUCUCGUCCUCCACAGGAGUCAGGUGAGGCUGUGGGGAGUCCCCUGCUGCGGGAUGUGCAGCUUUGCAAAUCUGCAGGGCUCUUUGAUUCCUGCCCCCAUCCCAACCAAGAACACAAGCCUCUCGAAAGCGAACCCAUAGUUCCUUGUGCAAUUAAGUGCUUGUAUUUACCAUGUGGGAAUGCAACCAUCCAGCCAAUCUUAGCUGCUCCACGGUCGUGACUGGAGUAUAGAAUCAAAGCACUUUUUGCAAGAGUGGCAAAUACCAGGGCAUUGUAUAGAGAAGUAGCACUAGUUGCAAAUAAAAUGAUAAUAACCAAU